AAUUUGGUCGGUAAGCUAGUUAGCCCGGCGAUCGGACAUGUGGAUGGGCUCACUAACGCGCGUAAAAAUUAUCGAUUAGCUUGGAAAGCCCGCAGAAGAUCCGCCGCCCGUAGUCCCCCUCAGUACCGCUGGUAGGUUAGUGCCGUUGGUAGGUCGUCGCUGCUGGCUGCGCCGCGGCGGAAGAACCCCUGCUCGGAGCGGAGUUGUGACUCGACGGAACUGCGGAACAAGUAUAGGCGAGAUGUCGUACUACUCAUCCUCCCGGAGUUCGUCCCGGGCCACAGACUGUAAAGUCUACGUUGGUGACUUGGGCAACGGUGCUGCCAAGGGCGAGCUAGAGCGCGCGUUCAGCUACUAUGGCCCGCUGAGAAGCGUCUGGGUGGCCAGGAAUCCACCGGGGUUUGCUUUCGUGGAGUACGAGGAUCCCAGAGAUGCUGAAGAUGCAGUUAAAGGCAUGGAUGGAAAGGUCCUGUGUGGCUCCAGGAUCCGUGUGGAAAUGUCAACGGGACUAUCUAGGAAGGGCCGUGGGCGCCCAAGCAGACGCCAUUUUGAUCCCAACGACCGGUGUUAUCAGUGUGGUGACAGGGGCCACUAUGCCUAUGACUGCUACCGCUUCAGCAAGAGAGGACGACGAAGCAGGUCUCGCUCCCGCUCCCGGUCUCGCUCCAGGUCCAGGUCCCGUGGACGCCGCUAUCGUUCCCGUUCCCGCAGCCGUAGCAAUGGCAGGCGCCACCGGUCUCCAUCUUACUCUAAACGCAGGAGCAGGUCUGGCUCCCAAGCCCGUUCCAAGUCAAGGACUCCAGUGAGAAGUCGUUCCAGGUCUCGGUCUCGGUCAGGCUCUGGGCCCAGAGGGCGCUCCGACUCUAGGUCUCGCUCUCUGUCCCGCUCAGUCAGCCACAAGAGGAACAGAGUGUGGUGGGAGCUGAGCACUGCACCGCAGCUGUUCCCAGGCCCAGGGUCUGCUAGCUGGUGGUGUGUACGUCCUGCGGGAGGGUGACUUAAGCGCUGACCUGAGAUCAGCCUUCGCCUGCAGCUGGUGUUAGAGUGAAAGAGAGAGGGGUCGACCUACCGGCCGAGCCCUCCCCGCAGUGAAUGAGUCGCCGUCUGUUCGACCGACGCACACGCUCAGACUGGAACAGCCCGCGCGCACACACAGUUGUUCUACUAGAGUCACCCAGCCAGCCUUCAGACCUACCAGAGGGCUGACCCACACAGUUCAGAGUUCGACCACAACCUCUUUUAAAACCCCUUAUCUACCAGACCCCCCCUACCUACCUACCUACCUACCCACCUACCUACCUACCUACCUACCUACCAGAGCUCUCCGGCCUCUGUCUUAGCUACUGAAAGUGAGAGAAUGAGAAAGAGGGGGGAGAGAGCUGACGAGGGAUGAGUCUACAAGAGCCUCCCAGCGCAGUGUCUCUCCGAGUUGUAGUCAUCCGUCCUUCAGUCCUUUCAUCCUUCGCUUCUCUGUACUUGUUGUUUCUGCCACUGUCUGCAAAGUCGUUCCAGAUCAGGAAGUCCCAAGAGGAGUCCCACACCUGGAGAUGACUGAGUGAAGAAGAUUACUUGCCCCAGCCCACCCCCAUCCCACCACUCACAAACACACACACACACAUACACACACACCUCCCUGAUGCCGUAGCCAUCCCUGCCUGCCUCUGUAGCCUGAUUUGUUGUCCCUCCCAGCCCCCCCCCCCCCCCCCGGUACUUGUCUGUAUAGUUUCGGCCAUCAGAUUUUGAAUUACACUUGCAUGUGCUGUCUCAGGAUGCUAAUGCAGUCACUGUGGGCGAGUCACUAUAGUGGGCAAGUCACUAUAAUGCAGUCACUAUAGUGGGCAAGUCACUAUAGUGGGCAAUUCACUAUACUGCAGUCACUAUAGUGGGCAAGUCACUAUACUGCAGUCACUAUAGUGGGCAAGUCACUAUAGUGGCAAGAGUCUUUUUCCUACUUAAGAGCUCCAUGGUUGUAUUUGUUGGCCAGUGAGGCAGGGAGUUUUUUAAUAAAGAGUUGGAUAAACAUAUCUUGGCUAAUUUAAUACAAUGCAGAUUACUUUCAACAGUGAUUUGGGAACUUCAGAUGGCAAAUAGCAGUUGUUACCAUUUUUCAGGACGAGACGACCACCGCUUCUAUCGGUCUAGUGUUCCUCUAGGGAAGUUUAAUUGACCCGUUUUUAUUUUAAUCCCACCUUAUUUUUGACGGCCCUGCAUCUUGAUGAACGUUCUUACCUUAAGUCUAAAACUCUUAUGUCGCCUGUCAAAGAUGUAUUUUCCUUUUUGUUCUGGCGGUCUAUUAAACUACACACAUACACAACUGAUUAGAAUUGGUUUUACGUUUUCCUCAUUUGAAAACUGGAUAUUUUUAUUAUUAUUAUACUGGAUGAUUUUGGAGCUUGGGUGUGCAACUUAGUCCAAUCUUGUUUAUCACACUUGCGUAUAAGGGCGGCCAGCCUGCAUGCCUUAUAAAAACUGAUGUCACAUUCCCAGUUCAGAGAUGCUGAUCCGUCUGAUGCUCUAAAACUGCACUGCCCUUUUUACAAAGGUUGUGAGCUCAAUGUCCACUAAUUGGAUUUUCAAUAUGUACAGAACUCUUCAUUUUCAGUUUGUGAUGUUUUUGUUUUUAAAUCUUCAAUGUGGUAAGUUUCAUUUCUGUAAGGGCUGCUGCUUCACUUUGUUCUUUCCCUGGCUUAUGAUGAGAUACAGUGGCUGUUUUAUUUUGGAAUAAAUCUUAGAUUUAAAA